rnacentral:rRNA from 1 species
GACGAACGCUGGCGGCGUGCCUAAUACAUGCAAGUUGAGCGCUGAAGGUUGGUACUUGUACCAACUGGAUGAGCAGCGAACGGGUGAGUAACGCGUGGGGAAUCUGCCUUUGAGCGGGGGACGACAUUUGGAAACGAAUGCUAAUACCGCAUAAAAACUUUAAACACAAGUUUUAAGUUUGAAAGAUGCAAUUGCAUCACUCAAAGAUGAUCCCGCGUUGUAUUAGCUAGUUGGUGAGGUAAAGGCUCACCAAGGCGAUGAUACAUAGCCGACCUGAGAGGGUGAUCGGCCACAUUGGGACUGAGACACGGCCCAAACUCCUACGGGAGGCAGCAGUAGGGAAUCUUCGGCAAUGGACGAAAGUCUGACCGAGCAACGCCGCGUGAGUGAAGAAGGUUUUCGGAUCGUAAAACUCUGUUGGUAGAGAAGAACGUUGGUGAGAGUGGAAAGCUCAUCAAGUGACGGUAACUACCCAGAAAGGGACGGCUAACUACGUG